UUUUAUUACCUAUUUAAUAAUUGUUAUUAAUCUGAAACUAUACAUUCUGUUUACGUAUUUAAUAACUUUUGUAUGAACUCAUAAGGGAAGGCACUGUUUUCUGAGACACAGGUAAUAACCUAGUUCAGAAGGCAGAGCAAAAUUGUGAACCGAAUAUUAUGUAAAAUUUGCUAAUAAAUAUUAUUUUAUUUUUA